rnacentral:rRNA from 1 species
CCUACGGGGGGCUGCAGUAGGGAAUAUUAGUUAAUGUGCGAAAGCGCGAACUAGCAACGCCGCGUGUGCGAUGAAGGCCUUCGGGUCGUAAAGCACUUUUCUAAGGGAUGAGGAAGGACAGUACCUUAGGAAUAAGCAUCGGCUAACUACGUGCCAGCAGCCGCGGUAAAACGUAGGAUGCAAGCGUUAUCCGGAUUUACUGGGCGUAAAGCGCGUGUAGGCGGUUUGGUAAGUUGGAUGUGAAAGCUCCUGGCUUAACUGGGAGAGGUCGUUCAAUACUGCCAAGCUUGAGGAUGGUAGAGGGAGGUGGAAUUCCGAGUGUAGUGGUGAAAUGCGUAGAUAUUCGGAGGAACACCAGUGGCGAAAGCGGCCUCCUGGCCAAUCACUGACACUGAGACGCGAAAGCGUGGGGAGCAAACAGGAUUAGAUACCCGAGUAGUC